AAUGAACGCUGGCGGCGUGCCUAACACAUGCAAGUCGGAUGUGCCGCAAGGUGCAUGGCAGACGGGUGAGUAACGCGUGGGGAACCUACCUCUUCGUGGGGAAUAACGAUCCGAAAGGAUUGGUAAUACCGCAUGAGACCGACGGCUGGGAUGCUGUCGGUGAAAGCUGGGGACCGGAAACGGCCUGGCGCGAGGAGAGGGUCCUGCGUCUGAUUAGCUAGUUGGUGGGGUAACGGCCUACCAAGGCAUCGAUCAGUAGCCGGCCUGAGAGGGUGAUCGGCCACACUGGAACUGAGACACGGUCCAGACUCCUACGGGAGGCAGCAGUGGGGAAUUUUGCGCAAUGGACGAAAGUCUGACGCAGCAACGCCGCGUGGGUGAUGAAGGUCUUCGGAUUGUAAAACCCUACGUCGUCGGGGACGGAAGGUAGGGGGGUUAAGUAGGCCCUUUUGUCUUGACGGUACCCGGAGAGGAAGCCCGGCCUAACUCUGUGCCAGCAGCCGCGGUAA
rnacentral:rRNA from 1 species